UACGAAGGGGGCUAGCGUUGCUCGGAAUCACUGGGCGUAAAGCGCACGUAGGCGGCUUGUUAAGUCAGGGGUGAAAUCCUGGAGCUCAACUCCAGAACUGCCUUUGAUACUGGCGAUCUUGAGUCCGGGAGAGGUGAGUGGAACUGCGAGUGUAGAGGUGAAAUUCGUAGAUAUUCGCAAGAACACCAGUGGCGAAGGCGGCUCACUGGCCCGGUACUGACGCUGAGGUGCGAAAGCGUGGGGAGCAAACAGG
rnacentral:rRNA from 1 species